AUUUUUCAAGGAGAGAAGAAAACAGAAGAAAGGGGAAAAAAAAGAAGAAGAAAAGCAGAUGAAAUAGAAGCAGAAGCUAAACAAAAUCAAACCAGAAAUAGCACAUUCCUAGCAGCAAGGGUGGAUAAUUACUCACUGGAACAGUUUGCCCCUGAGUGUGGAGACAUUAAGUCCUUAAAUCAAGACUGGAUCUAUUCUCCUCUAUCCGAACAGAAGUUCUGGCCUUUAUGCAGAACUCACAGAGUGAUUUUUUUUCUUCUUUUUUUCUUUUUUUUUUCUUUUUUUUUUCUGACGUGCAUCACCCUGAAUGUCAGACCACAUGAUCUUCGCAUUUUGUUCUGCACCGUCAGUCUGUUUAUGGACCAUAUGAUCUUCAUAUCCCAGUUUGGUCAUGGGAGGCUGGCUACAAGAGACUGCAAAGCAGCAGCUUUGACGAGGACAACACAAAGCCUCCAGCCCUUAGAAGCCACCUCUAAGAAAUGCAGCCAGUGAUGAGCAACACAAGCUACAAGUAAGGUGCUACCUGUUAUCAAAAUAUGCUACUUUGCAGCAUCAUUAUGUCUCCAGUUUAAAUUCUAGGUAUGGACAAGAUAGAAAAAUAAAUUUAUUUAUUUUUUUUUUAAAGCA
rnacentral:lncRNA from 1 species